UACGUAGGGGGCAAGCGUUAUCCGGAUUUACUGGGUGUAAAGGGAGCGUAGACGGCGCGGCAAGUCUGAAGUGAAAGGCAGGGGCUUAACCCCUGAACUGCUUUGGAAACUGCCAUGCUAGAGUGCUGGAGAGGUAAGUGGAAUUCCUAGUGUAGCGGUGAAAUGCGUAGAUAUUAGGAGGAACACCAGUGGCGAAGGCGGCUCUCUGGUCUGUAACUGACGCUGAGGCUCGAAAGCAUGGGUAGCGAACAGG
rnacentral:rRNA from 1 species